CGGAAACGGAAAUGACCGAAUCCGGAAACGACCGAAACCGGAAAUUUCCGCCUAAUUUCCCGCCUAAAAUUGCCUAAAAUUCAGCCUGCGAGCAGGCUCACUGGCAAAAAGGUGAGCCUGCACGGAACCAAUGAACCAUGCGUUUUAUUCAUUCAUCCCUUUUCCGCACUGCUAAACGCGAACCAAUCGGCGUCGACUGGGAUAAUAAACAAAGACUGUCAACCAUAGCUGUCAGCUCUGAAAUUGACGCAGGGCGUGAAAUGUACAACGAAUGAAAUGUAUAAAACAAGUGUAACUCCAAAGAUCGAUAACAUUUUUAUAUUUAUCAACGUUUCGGCUAUAUUUCAGUCAUCAUCAGGAUAAAGAAAUGUAUAUAACAAUAAUACGAAGCAUUAACAAGUCGCA